rnacentral:rRNA from 1 species
UACGGAGGAUGCAAGCGUUAUCCGGAAUGAUUGGGCGUAAAGCGUCCGCAGGUGGCAAUGUAAGUCUGCUGCCAAAGCGUCUGGCUCAACCAGAUAAAGGCAGUGGAAACUACAUAGCUAGAGUAAGGUAGGGGUAGAGGGAAUUCCUGGUGUAGCGGUGAAAUGCGUAGAGAUCAGGAAGAACACCGGUGGCGAAAGCGCUCUGCUGGACCUUAACUGACACUGAGGGACGAAAGCUAGGGGAGCGAAUGGG